GGAAGUGUUCGUCCUAGCCGGAGGGCCAAGCAGAGAUCUUUGCGCGAACUGCGCACGGAGAAGCCCUGGCGAGGUGACGUAGGACCCGGGUUCAAUUCCCGGCAGCUCCACCA
rnacentral:tRNA from 1 species